rnacentral:sRNA from 1 species
UCGUCAGCUCGUGUCGUGAGAUGUUGGGUUAAGUCCCGCAACGAGCGCAACCCUCGUUUUUAGUUGCCAGCAUUAAGUUGGGCACUCUAGAGAGACUGCCGGUGACAAACCGGAGGAGGGUGGGGAUGACGUCAAGUCAGCAUGCCCCUUACGCCUUGGGCUACACACGUACUACAAUGCUCCGGACAGAGGGCAGCAAGCAUGCGAGUGCAAGCAAAUCCCGGAAACCGGAGCUCAGUUCAGAUCGCAGGCUGCAACUCGCCUGCGUGAAGGAGGAAUCGCUAGUAAUUGCAGGUCAGCAUACUGCAGUGAAUUCGUUCCCGGGCCUCGUACACACCGCCCGUCACACCAUGGAAGCUGGUAGUGCCCGAAGUCAUUACUCCAACCAUUCGUGGAGGAGGAUGCCUAAGGCAGGACUGGUGACUGGGGUGAAGUCGUAACAAGGUAGCCGUACCGGAAGGUGUGGCUGGAUCACCUCCUUUUAGGGAGACCUUACCCUUCUAACUCUGAAUUGAGUGAGAGUAGAUAGAGGUUAUCUCAAGGUCGGUCGAGGUUAUAUGUGUUAGCUUCCAAAUUUUGCUCUGGUUUUAGUUAACCAGUACGGGCUAUUAGCUCAGAUGGUUAGAGCGCACCCCUGAUAAGGGUGAGGUCCCUGGUUCGGGUCCAGGAUGGCCCACCUUUGCUAUCGCUAGGGGGUUUAGCUCAGUUGGUAGAGCGCCUGCUUUGCAAGCAGGAUGUCAGCGGUUCGAGUCCGCUAACCUCCACUGAUAAAUUUCAGCAACUCAUCUUGAUAGAACAAGAGAGCCUGCUGGAUGAGAAUCCAGUUAGAACCUUGAAAACUGCAUAGUAACUUGUCAGGUAGUAAGACAAUGACGGCCAACGAGAGCUUAAUAACUUUCUGUUGGAAACGAGUUGUCACUAUCACAGACACCAAUGUAAGCGAGACUCUAGACAAUUAGCGAAAGCUAAAGACUAGAAGUUAAAAGUGGUCAAGCUACAAAGGGCUGAUGGUGGAUACCUWGGCACACAGAGGCGADG